UAGGUUUUAUUUACACAUUUUUUAUACUGCCUGUAAACAAUGAUAAUGUGUAUGUUAAUAAUUGUUCUUACAGAGAACCUGCAGAAUAUGCGAAAGGAUGAUCCAUCGCUGGGGCAUUUUGUUAGCUUCCAACAACCGGAAGGGGAAAUAUGUCUGCAGCAACUGUUGGUUUUUACCUGAUGUCCUGCCAAGAGGGAGUGUUGUAAUGCUCGGAAACAAAGUAGAUUUUGACGAUGAAGAGUAUCAGAGGCUGGCAAAUGUUAGAAAGGACAUCAAGUUUUACAGAAAUGGAGAGAACUGAAACCCUAGAGAUAUCCUGGCUAAAAGGAGCUUUUGGAAACUUUUACACUCAAAGUCAAAAAACUGAAAAGUCUAUCGAGAAAUUUCUCCCUGUUCAAUAAUCAAUUCCAUGCUUAAACUUAUUCGAAAAUAAAACAAUGUAUAUA